rnacentral:lncRNA from 1 species
UGCAAGCCGAAGAAAAACGAGGCUAGCAGCACCGCCGGAGUAGCCGCGCUCCACCGCCGCUCGCCGUCCUUGCGCGCCGUUGCUGCUGCGCGCCUCCGCCUUCCUUCACGCCGUCGUCCCUGCUCGCCCUCGUCUCCAGUAGCUUCGCAGGCCAACCCAGGCCGCGGUUCAGCCACCUCCGGCCACCGCGAGACCCCGCCGAUGGCCGCACGGCACCACCGCAUCUCCUCCGCCCGUUUCCGACACAAGCCGGCGCCGGAUCUGCCCUCUCUUAGCCUUGAACCGCCGCGGAUAGCAGUGAGCAAAAUGGGUAUUUCAGCGGAUGUUAGGCCCGUUUCGGCCGCCUUCCCGAGCCCGGAUGCUCGGCCCGCUUUGAGGAAAGUCGAUCCUCGCGUCGUCCCCGUCGUUUUGGUCCGCUCGGCUCGCUAAUCCGGUAAGUUUAGCUCACUAAACCUCGCUUAGAGGGUUAAUUAUGCUUAGGGAGGUUUAGUUUAUGUUAAGUAUUAUUAGGUUGUUAGUUUAGGUUAAUUAAGAGUAGAUUUGAUUAAGGUUGUGGUUUAAUUUAAAGUGUGCUUAAUUAAGGGUAAGUAGGUUUAUUUAAAAUAAGCCUUGAUUUGACAUAAAUGAAUUUACUUUUGAUUUAUUUAAAUGUCUCGAAAUUAUUAUAUAAUUUAAUAAUAUAUUUUAUUCGAAAUUAAUAAAAUAUUAUUAUUUAAUUAUUUUCGGAAAUAAUUAAAUUAUUUGUUAAAUUCCGAAAAUUUUGUCGAGACCUUAAAUUCUCAGAAUUUCGUGCCGGUCGUUGCUGUGUAGUCGGAUUUUGAAAUUGAUGAUUGGAUGUUAUAAAUUGAGUGUGGACCGUGAAAUAUAUGGAUAUUAUUAUUUAAUUAAUUUUCGGAAUAAAUUUAAUUAUUUAAUAAAUUCCGAAAAUUAUUCUGGAACCUUAUUCUCCCAUAAUUUCGUGCUGAUCGUUGCUGUGUAUUUAGAAUUUGAUAUUGAUGAUUGGUUGUGAUGAAUUGAGUGUUAUUGCGAUUUAUAGGGAUUCUUUAUGAAAUCCUAAGUGUAGAAAUUGAUGAGAGAUUGGCUAUGAUUGACCACCUAUUAGAGGUCGUGCCCAGUGAGGCCGUGAAAUACCACCUAGGAAAGGUCGUGCCCGAUGGGCCGUGAAAUACCACCUAGGAAAGGUCGUGCCCGAUGAGGCCGUGAAAAACCACCUACAAGAGGUCGUGCCCGAUGAAGCCGUGAAAUACCACCUAUUAGAGGUCGUGCCUAGUGAGGCCGUGAAAUACCACCUAGGAAAGGUCGUGCCCGAUGAGGCCGUGAAAUACCACCUAGGAAGGGUCGUGCCCGAUGAGGCCGUGAAAUACCACCUACAAGAGGUCGUGCCCGAUGAGGCCGUGAAAAACCACCUACAAGAGGUCGUGCCCGAUGAGGCCGUGAAAUACCACCUACAAGAGGUCGUGCCCGAUGAGGCCGUGAAAUACCACCUAUUAGAGGUCGUGCCCAGUGAGGCCGUGAUAAACCACUUAUGAGAGGUCGUGCCCAGUGAGGCCGUGAUUAACCACCUAUUAGAGGUCGUGCCUGAUGAGGCCGUGAAUUACCACCUGAUUACAGGUCGUGCCGAGUGGGGCCGUGAUUGCCACUGAUUGUUAAACCUUCCUAUAGGGUUGGGAUUGAGAGCAAUGAUUGAUUUGCUAGAAUGACAUGUAAUCGGCCGAGUCGAUUGAUCGCUGAGACGAUCCAAGUGGUUGAGUNNNNNNNNNNNNNNNNNNNNNNNNNNNNNNNNNNNNNNNNNNNNNNNNNNNNNNNNNNNNNNNNNNNNNNNNNNNNNNNNNNNNNNNNNNNNNNNNNNNNUGAUAAUGUGAUUGUGCCAUGGUUGUUUGGUUAUCAUAAUUGCACCGUGGUUGGUUUAUAUAAAUUGUGCUAACCUGCAGAUAAAAGGCUGAGGCGAGGUAAGUCUUCUGUGUGAUGUGGCUAGGCCACCCGGGGCAUAUUUUCUUUCUAAUAGGGGUUUAGGGGGUUGAACUUGGUGAGACAUCGUCUCAUCCCCGGUUGUGGGAUUAAAAUUUCAGGUCCCCGGUGGAUGGAGUGGCCAGAUAGCUUUGGUUGGCCUUGAGGAGUUGCGGAUGUGAAGUCAUAAGAUUGGAGAACGUGUCCGACUUGUAGGUCGUAGGGCAGUUCAUUUUUAAGAGCCGGUCUUUCGUAGACUUUUGGCCGUAGACCUCUGUUUGUAAUUCUGUUGAAUUAUGGAAGUGUUAUGUUGUGGUUUUGCUUCCUGCUUUUCUAUUCCGUAUUUUAUUGUCAGGGGAUUUGUUUCGCUUCCGCAUGCAUAAAUAAAUGAAUGGGUCGGCGACACAUCCUGG